rnacentral:lncRNA from 1 species
GUCGACAUUUUCUUUAUUCUGGUAUCUAUGAUGAGUUUGUAUAAUGCUAUACUUUAUUCUGGUAUCUAUGAUGAGUUUGUAUAAUGCUAUACUUUAUUCUGGUAUCUAUGAUGAGUUUGCAUAAUACGAUAUUUUAUAAAAAUAUCAUGACGAGGUUCUUCUUAUGUAAGGUUGUUCAAGCACUCCAUGGUUAAAGUAAACCAAAGAUCAGCAUUCCAAUGUUAAAGUAAACCAACGAUCUGC